rnacentral:tRNA from 1 species
AUCCAUGGGUUUAAGAUUCAUUAGCUUUCUCAUUCUACUCUUUCACAAAGGAGUGAGAAGAGAACUCAAUGAAUCUUAUGCUAUUCAUUAAAUAGAUGAUUUCUUUUUUAUUAGAGUAGAGUAUCGGCAAGGAACCUCGAUUAUUAAUUCUAUUUUGAAGUAUUAUUAAGUAAGCCUUCACAAUGCAUAGGACUACCCCCCCCUCCAUUUCCAAAUUUGGAAUGAAAUACCUUAUUUAUUUUUUAGUCCUUUUAAUUGACAUAGAUGCAAAUAGUCUACUAGGAUGAUGCACAAGAAAGGGUCAGGAUAGCUCAGUUGGUAGAGCAGAGGACUGAAAAUCCUCGUGUCACCAGUUCAAAUA